rnacentral:rRNA from 1 species
UACGUAGGGAGCGAGCGUUAUCCGGAUUUAUUGGGUGUAAAGCGUGUGUAGGCGGAAAUAUAAGUCUAAGGUUUAAGCCCGGAGCUCAACUCCGGUUCGCCUUAGAAACUGUAUUUCUUGAGUAUGGUAGAGGCAAGUGGAAUUUCUAGUGUAGCGGUAAAAUGCGUAGAUAUUAGAAGGAACACCAGUGGCGAAGGCGACUUGCUGGGCCAUUACUGACGCUGAGACACGAAAGCGUGGGGAGCAAAUAGG